CUUAAGAUGAUCUGCUGGUCAUAGACAAAGAUGUAUUUCUCAGUUACUCAGAUCUACGGUCUCUGUACAGUGAUCGACAACAGCUGCAAGGAUAUCUCUAGAGGAGACACCACCUUUUUAUUUUUGUGAACUUUCAAAGGUGUAUUUUUAUUAUGAACAGCAUUGCAUAGGCGGAGGGCAUGAAAGGAAGAAGAUUCAGGACAAGAGAAUGAGAGGAGGGUUAGGUGGUCUGACAUGUGUCUCCAAAGAGGAGGUUGAUGUUUAACAAAGGAAUUGGGGUAACAGGAAAAAACAGGAGGGGAUUGAAGAAGGGUGGAAGACCAAGGUCUGGGGAAUGAGAAAUGCCAGCAGGGAGGACUGUGCUUCCUGGACCCUACUGUCCCACCAUGAAUAGGCUGGAGAACCACUCUUGCUGAGCUGGUUACUCUUUCCUAGAUCCCAGGGCCCAUCGAAGAUGCUAAAGUGUGAUGAUUUGCAGAUAAUUGGAAGCCAAUGAGGAAAGGAGAAGGUGUUCCAGGGUCUCUGUACCCUAAAGGCAGAGAGAGAACUGCAGCUACCUGGGGAAGCAGAUGGGGUGAAACUGUGAAACUGAAACAAUGCCUGGAGAGAAGCAAGAAAUGGAAGAGUAGAGGGUCAGCCUGGGACUGUGGUUGGGACCCCCACCAUGGCCCUGCUGCUCCUCACCGUUCUGGGCCCAUGGAACUGUGGACACCCAGGACUCUCAAAAAUUGGGAAUCAGCAAAAGUUUAAAAGGUCCUGGCAAGAAGGGAAAGCCCAAAUGAGCCUGGACCUGAUAAAACAACAGGGCCAGCCUCAGUGGAAUUGGAGACUAAGUGAAGUAACUCAGCAACGGAAAACCAAACGUAUGUUCUCACUCGUAAGUGGGAGCAAAACCUACUGAAAUGAGAAAUAAAUUAAAACAACAACAACAAUAACAACAACAACAGUUCCAGCAAGAGCCAGCAGGUAAUUGAGUGAUCUUCCAGCUUAGAUCCAACACCUCCCAGCUAUAAGCUACCUGACUGGCCCCAAAGAAACAGUGGAACAAUGGAUUGGAUGUGCAUAUUUCAGGAAAGUCAGCACCCUAAAGGGGGUAGCAGUUAAAUGGGAAACAAACACUGAGUUUUUACCCACC
rnacentral:lncRNA from 1 species